rnacentral:tRNA from 1 species
GGGGGGCGUGUUUCAGCCGUAGAGUAUCUGCUUGACAUGCAGAAGGUCCCAGGUUCAAAUCCUACUCCCUUCA